rnacentral:tRNA from 1 species
GCCUUCUUAGUAUAAUAAAUACCAGCGACUUCCAAUCACUAAAUUUUGAAUAACACUCAAAAGAAGACA